rnacentral:rRNA from 1 species
GGUGCAAACGGUGGAUGCCUUGGCAUCAGAAGCCGAUGAAGGACGUAUGAGGCUGCGAUAAGCCUCGGGGAGCUGCCAACAGAGCAUUGAUCCGAGGAUUUCCGAAUGGGGAAACCCACUGGGAGUAAUGUCCUGGUACUUCUGCAUGAACACAUAGUGCAGAUAGAGGGAACGUAGGGAAGUGAAACAUCUCAGUACCUACAGGAAGAGAAAACAACCGUGAUUCCGCUAGUAGUGGCGAGCGAAAGCGGAUCGAGACUAAACCGAUGAUGUGUCAAGCCGGCAGGCGUUGCAUGAUCGGGGUCGUGGGAUUGUGUCGAGUAAUCUGCCGAUUACUCAAUAAGUAAAAAAUCAAUGAUGUAGAUGAAGGAUUUGGAAAGAUCCGGCACAGAAGGUAACACCCCUGUAGUCGAAACAUCAUUGACUUAUUCGCAAUAUCCCAAGUAGCACGGGGCCCGAGAAAUCCCGUGUGAAUCUGGCGGGACCACCCGCUAAGUCUAAAUACUCUCUGGUGACCGAUAGCGGACAAGUACCGUGAGGGAAAGGUGAAAAGAACCCCGAGAGGGGAGUGAAAUAGAAUCUGAAACCGUUUGCAUACAAGCCGUAGGAGCGAGAGCAAUCUUGUGACUGCGUGCCUUUUGAAGAAUGAACCUGCGAGUUAGUGUCAUGUGGCGAGGUUAACCCGUGUGGGGUAGCCGUAGCGAAAGCGAGUCUGAAUAGGGCGAAUUAGUCGCAUGAUCUAGACCCGAAGCGGGAUGAUCUAUCCAUGGUCAGGUUGAAGCGCGGGUAAGACCGCGUGGAGGACCGAACCCACUAAUGUUGAAAAAUUAGGGGAUGAACUGUGGAUAGGGGUGAAAGGCCAAUCAAAUUCCGUGAUAGCUGGUUCUCUCCGAAAUGCAUUUAGGUGCAGCGUUACGUGUUUCUUACCGGAGGUAGAGCUACUGGAUGGCUGAGGGGCCCUACAAGGUUACCAAUGUCAACCAAACUCCGAAUGCCGGUAAGUGAGAACGUAGCAGUGAGACGGUGGGGGAUAAGCUUCAUCGUCGAGAGGGAAACAACCCAGAAUGACAACUAAGGUCCCAAAGCGUGUGCUAAGUGGAAAAGGAUGUGAAGUCGCAUAGACAACCAGGAUGUUGGCUUAGAAGCAGCCACCAUUAAAAGAGUGCGUAAUAGCUCACUGGUCAAGUGAUUUCGCGCCGACAAUGUAACGGGGCUCAAGCACAUCACCGAAGUUUCAUCAUUCACGCACUACCCCGGUCCGCAAGGAUCCAGGGGCGUGGAUGGGUAGGAGAGCGUCGUGCGCGCAGUGAAGCGGCGGAGGAAUCCAGCCGUGGAGAGCGCACGAGUGAGAAUGCAGGUAUGAGUAGCGAAAGACGGGUGAGAAACCCGUCCACCGAAUGACCAAGGGUUCCUGGGCCAGGCUAAUCCGCCCAGGGUAAGUCGGGUCCUAAGGCGAGGGCGACAGCCGUAGUCGAUGGACAACUGGUUGAUAUUCCAGUACCCGCAAUAAAGCGCCCAUGGCGAACCAACAAUGCUAAGUGGGUGAAGCGGAAGCAAUUCCGUGGAUCGUACGACCCUACGUUGCAGUAGCUAAGCAAUGGUGUGACACAGGAAGGUAGUUCAUCCCAGGCGAUGGUUGUCCUGGGGUAAGGGUGUAGUGAGGGCUAUAGGCAAAUCCGUAGUCCAUAUUCAUGAGACCUGAUGCCGAGCCGAAUGGCGAAGUGAAUGAUCCUAUGCUGUCGAGAAAAGCAUCUAGCGAGCUUUAUGGCGGCCCGUACCCGAAACCGACUCAGGUGGUCAGGCAGAGAAUGCCAAGGUGAUCGAGAGAAUCAUAGUUAAGGAACUCGGCAAAAUGCCCCCGUAACUUCGGGAGAAGGGGGGCCAAAGCGGGUGUAGGAGUUUUCCUCCGAAGCCUGCGGUGGCCGCAGAGAGUAGGCCCAAGCGACUGUUUACCAAAAACACAGGUCCGUGCGAAGUUGUAAGACGAUGUAUACGGACUGACGCCUGCCCGGUGCUGGAAGGUCAAGGGGACUGGUUAGCUAGUAAUAGCGAAGCUGAGAACUUAAGCCCCAGUAAACGGCGGUGGUAACUAUAACCAUCCUAAGGUAGCGAAAUUCCUUGUCGGGUAAGUUCCGACCUGCACGAAUGGCGUAACGAUUUGGGCGCUGUCUCAACUGUGAACUCGGCGAAAUUGCACAACGAGUAAAGAUGCUCGUUACGUGAAGAAAGACGGAAAGACCCCGGGACCUUUACUAUAGUUUGAUAUUGGUACUCGGAACGGCUUGUGUAGGAUAGGUGGGAGACUGUGAAGCGGGCACGCCAGUGUUCGUGGAGUCAACGUUGAAAUACCACUCUGGUCGUUUUGAGUUUCUAACCUCGGUCCAUAUAUCUGGAUCAGGGACAGUGUCUGAUGGGUAGUUUAACUGGGGCGGUUGCCUCCCAAAAAGUAACGGAGGCGCUCAAAGGUUCCCUCAGCCUGGUUGGCAAUCAGGUGUCGAGUGUAAGUGCACAAGGGAGCUUGACUGCGAGACAGACAUGUCGAGCAGGUGCGAAAGCAGGAACUAGUGAUCCGGCGGUGGCUUGUGGAAGCGCCGUCGCUCAACGGAUAAAAGGUACCCCGGGGAUAACAGGCUGAUCUUGCCCAAGAGUCCAUAUCGACGGCAAGGUUUGGCACCUCGAUGUCGGCUCGUCGCAUCCUGGGGCUGGAGUAGGUCCCAAGGGUUGGGCUGUUCGCCCAUUAAAGCGGCACGCGAGCUGGGUUCAGAACGUCGUGAGACAGUUCGGUCCCUAUCUUCUUUGCGCGUAGGAAACUUGAGAAAUGCUGUCCCUAGUACGAGAGGACCGGGACGGACGAACCUCUGGUGUGUCGGUUGUUCCGCCAGGAGCACGGCCGAUUAGCUAUGUUCGGAAGUGAUAACCGCUGAAAGCAUCUAAGCGGGAAGCACGUUUCAAGAUGAGGUUUCCCACUGGUUUACCAGGUAAGGCCCCCAGCCAGACGACUGGGUUGAUAGGUCGGAUGUGGAAGCGAAGUAAUUCGUGAAGCUGACCGAUACUAAUAGGCCGAGGAUUUAACAC